rnacentral:lncRNA from 1 species
AGGGGGCAGGCCUGCUUUCCUGUCUCCUGCCACCACACAGUCUCUGAAGUGUGUGAAGAAGAGAGGAAGAGACAAUUAACACUCAGCACCAAUCUGCAUUUCCUUUUUAGCUGCCAUUUACACGCUGCUCAGGUUUUGAAAACCAGCAUUUCAUGCUACUCCCUAGAGAGCCAGCACCAGCUUCAGCAGGAUCCAUCUGCACAGCACUCACAUUGCUGAAAUCUUCAGCCAACCCAGAAUUCAUUUAUUUAUUUUUUGAAAAAAAAUGAGAGAGAGGAAGUGAGAGAGUACGAGUGAGAGAGCAAGCAAGCGGGUGAAAAUAAUAGAUUAGAAUCUGGUAAUAUUUAAUGCGCACGCUUGACCAAUCCCUGCGCUGGUCCAGGCAGGGGUGAGUCAGUGGAGUUUUUCUUUGAUCAUCUUCUAGAUUAGUGUGAGCAGCGAGCGAAUGAGCAAGAGCGUGUGACAACAGAGGAUGACAGGCUGUGAGGUUCGAAGCAGGAAGGACACACUCCAUAAGUCUCGGCACUGCUCAUCAGCCCAUGUGUCAGCACGCUCUUGCUGAUGGGAGCAGCGGGGAGAAACGCCAUACUGGGAAGUCACUGCUGGUGUGGGACAAGUUACAAGAUGCUUCUGGGGGAGGAAAAUGUGUAUCAUCAACUCCUCAGGACAGUGAAGCCUGCUCAGUCUAGACUUACAUGAGAGACUACUCAAUGACUCUCACAGAAAAGAGAUCUUCCCAAGGUGACAUCUUCUCCUCCUAAGCCAAUAAGGUCAUCUUACUCACAGUCCACUUCCAGGAACUGACCCCAAAUGGACAGAAUCUACUUAUAUCAUGGCACAGCUGUCAACUUCUCUUGCUAAAGAAGAGAAUAACGCUCACAAAAUUGCCCCAGAUGGCGGUGCAACAUUUUUGGGCCAAGUACUACAACUGAAAAGCAUGAACAGAGUUUUACCAGCGGGUUACAGAAAACUAGUGACAUGCUCUUGGAGAAGCCCCUCUUACAGAAGGCCAAAGAAGCUGAGAAAGCACAGAGGAAAUAAU